CCGAGUCUUCGUGCUCAAAACAACCCUUCUGUGGACCUGAAUAAAACCGUUGCCUCGGCAGGCGGCCCCUACCUACGGGCCAGAUAGUUCGGCUGCCUCCAGGGAGGAAACCCUCCCUGAGGUGCUGGCGCCAGCCGCUGGCCCCAAACCAAAACUCUAGUAACUUUUACCUUCUGAGUUUUAAUGCAAGAAAUAAGUCA
rnacentral:misc_RNA from 1 species